rnacentral:lncRNA from 1 species
AAUGACUGAUUUUGCUCUAAUAGUUUACCUUAAUAUUUGCAUGUUGGUGUUAUAAAUUAAAAUAUCACCUUCUGCAUCUUACGGUUCAUAGAUCAAUUAGUAAUCGAUGCAAGGCCUAAAAUAUCUCUCUGUUUUCUAUGUUCCGUAAUCUUUUCCCUUUAUUCUAAUGGAUAACGAAUGCAUCGAUUUUAUGAGAACUGAAAUAGUGG